rnacentral:rRNA from 1 species
UACAGAGGUCUCAAGCGUUGUUCGGAUUCAUUGGGCGUAAAGCGCGCGUAGGCGGCCCGGUAAGUCGGAUGUGAAAUCUCACGGCUCAACCGUGGAACUGCAUUCGAAACUGUCGGGCUAGAGGCAGGUAGGGGAGAUCGGAAUUCCCGGUGUAGCGGUGAAAUGCGCAGAUAUCGGGAGGAACACCGGUGGCGAAGGCGGAUCUCUGGGCCUGUCCUGACGCUCAGGCGCGAAAGCUAGGGGAGCGACAGG